UAGACAUAAAGCCUGCUCAAAUGGGUAAAACUGAGCAGCUGCUGGCAGCAAAAUGGCAGCAAGACACAGCAGAGGGUGGUCCAGGUGUCCAGUUGGAACAAAGUCUCUGUGGAAGUGCUGGUCAGGCUGUGCUGCUACACUCCAUGGCUCCAGACAGUUCAGGUUAUGACACUCUCAGCUCCCAGCAAUAGCAUAACACUGCCCAAUGAAUGGCAGCAAUCUUACAACAAUCAAUCUCAUGUGCAGCACUGCUCUACAGCGUAACAGGGGGUGAGAAAUGUAGAGAUAUCACAUAGAAUACAAAUGCAUAGGAAAUAAACCCCAAGGGAGUGAGGGGAAACUCAGCAGUGGCUCCCCUCGCUGACACAAGGUGAUCACAAGACAACCUUCUGCAUGCAGACGCCUCCAGAAAUCGAGGGAAGAAAGUGAGUUUCUAUGGACUUCCUCCAAGUAGGGCAGCAGUUCAGAAAGGCUCGGACAGACCGAUGGAAACCUGAGCCAACGUUGUUCCAUCCAACAGCUCCAAGGGGAAGAUCCCAUGCAAAACGUUUACCAAAACCCCUUUAUCUUCAAGAGCGGGUCCUGGCACAGCGAGAGCUCUUUUCUUAGAAAGAUGGGGCUGUGCUGCAGUCAGCAAGAAGGGCUACAUGCAGCUCGUUGGCAUCUCUCAUGCUGCACCACCUCCAGCACGUGCUGCCUGUGCCUACCACAUCAGACUGAAAGCUCUGCUUGGCCCUACUAAAAAGCUACAAAAGCAGUGAGCGUUAAGCAAUGCCCUCAGCCACCAGGGGAUGAUGCAAGGGACAGGGAUGCUCUGCUCAGUUCUCACUGCCACUCUGAUGCUCUUUCUAGGUCCUUACACAGCAAGGUCUGUGCCUAUACAAGUGAAAACUAAGCCUGCUCCUUUAGAAAGUGAAUCUGUACCCCUGUGAUGGAUUUACAUCGCUUUCACAUGGUCAGUCAGAAAUGGCAUUCAUACACGUGCUCUGGUGCACUCACACAGCCCUGUGGAUGCAGUCAGAAAUGACCACCACAACAAACUUAUCUGCACCUUUUUUUAAUAAAGGCUUCAAUGACUUUUAUUUGUGACCAACAGCCGAUCUUCACUUUUGGAAGGAGAAAGAAAAUCCCUCCAGGAGAGAUCAGAUGCUCACUGCAUCUCCCAGAUGGGCUGGGUUGGCUAUGCUGUGGGUUUUGUCCCCAUAUCAGUCACUAGGAGUUGUAUGUGUGACAGAAGAUUUGGCACAAAAGAUGGGCACAGCCCAACAGGCAGCAACGAGCAAAUAGGAUCUCCAAUUCAUCUCACCCUGCUUAGGCAGUGCUCUGCCUGCACCAGGCUCUGCCCUGACACCACAACCAACCAGACUGUUAUAGGAUGAGGCACAAUCUCAACUCACCAGCUGCACCGUGUCCAAAUGAAGCCCAUCAUGCUCUAAUUGGCAUUUCAGAGGUAAAGGCCGCACGGCAUACGCUGUCCUACAGUCUCUCAGCUCACCUCAGAAUCCAGAUGUCAUUUAUUCCUUCUAACCCAACCGCUGAUCAUUAGCAUAAGCUCGUCUCACACGUGAUUUCACAAGAGGCCUUUUGUCAAACCUACAUUGGCAUUUGUCAGUUUGAAAUUAAGCACAACGCUCACCAACUUGAUACCAAGCCUCCCUCUAAAGCAUAAAUUAACAUUUUAAUGGCGC
rnacentral:lncRNA from 1 species